GGCGAGUGAAGAGGGAAAAGCUCAAAUUUAAAAUCUGGCGGUCUANCGGCCGUCCGAGUUGUAAUCUAGAGAAGUGUUUUCCGCGCUGGACCGUGUACAAGUCCUUUGGAACAAGGCGUCAUAGAGGGUGAGAAUCCCGUCUACGACACGGACUGCCAAGCGCUUUGUGAUACACUCUCAACGAGUCGAGUUGUUUGGGAAUGCAGCUCAAAAUGGGUGGUAAAUUCCAUCUAAAGCUAAAUAUGGGCGAAAGACCGAUAGCGAACAAGUACCGUGAGGGAAAGAUGAAAAGCACUUUGGAAAGAGAGUUAAACAGUACGUGAAAUUGUUGAAAGGGAAACGCUUGAAGUCAGUCGCGUCUUCAGAAAUUCAGCCGGGCUUCUGCCUUGCGUACUUUUCUGUGGGACGGGCCAGCAUCAGUUUCGGCUGCCAGAAAAAGGUGGGAGGAAGGUGGCACCUCCGGGUGUGUUAUAGCCUCCCGUCGUAUGUGGCAGGCGGGACUGAGGACCGCAGCACGCCUUUAAUGGCCGGGGUUCGCCCACGUAACGUGCUUAGGAUGCUGGCGUAAUGGCUUUAAACGACCCG
rnacentral:rRNA from 1 species